rnacentral:lncRNA from 1 species
CUCGGACUUCUUAUAGGGCUACAUCUCCUGGUGCCACUUCUCCAAGGAUCGCCUCUCCGAGGGCCGCUUCUCCAAGGGUCAUCUCUUCUAAGGCAGCUUCUCCAAAGGUUAGCCCUCCCAAGGAAGCUUCUCCAAAGGCUACCUCUCCGAGGGCAGCUUCUCCAAAGGCUACCUCUCCCAGGGCAGCUUCUCCAAAGGUUACCUCUCCCAGGGAAGCUUCUCCAAAGGCUGCCUCUGCUAGUGCUCCUUCCCUAAAGGCUCUCUCUCCUAGGGAAGCUUCUCCAAAGGCUACCUCUGCUAGUGCUCCUUCCCCAAAGGCUACUGCUCCUAGGGAGGCUUCUCCAAGGGUCUCUUCUCCUAGAUCUACUUAUCCAGAGCUGAGUAGGAACCAUAAUGAGAUUAGCUAUGCUAACGGACCAGAACCAACUUUGACGCUCCAGCUUUCAGCAACCAAGAUACAGGCAGCCUACAGAAGUUACAUGGUAAGAUUCAAGAUAACUCCUUCAUCAAUGUUUUGCUGAAAAUAGCCUUUAAGAAUACUACUUGAUUUUGUGAGUUGGCCAGAUCUUGAGUGAAAAGUUAUAGGUCAUGUUAUUGCGCACUCAUGAUAUAUUGGUAACAAUUAUGUCAUU